rnacentral:rRNA from 1 species
GGUUUGAUCAUGGCUCAGAUUGAACGCUGGCGGGAUGCUUUACACAUGCAAGUCGAAUGGCAGCACGGACUUCGGUCUGGUGGCGAGUGGCGAACGGGUGAGUAAUGUAUCGGAACGUGCCUAGUAGUGGGGGAUAACUACGCGAAAGCGUAGCUAAUACCGCAUACGCCCUUCGGGGGAAAGCGGGGACCUUUCGGGCCUGGCAUUAGAGCGGCCGAUAUCGGAUUAGCUAGUUGGUGGGGUAACGGCUCACCAAGGCGACGAUCCGUAGCUGGUUUGAGAGGACGACCAGCCACACUGGACUGAGACACGGCCCAGACUCUACGGGAGGCAGCAGUGGGGAAUUUUGGACAAUGGGGGAAACUCUUGAUCCAGCCAUCCCGCGUGUGCGAUGAAGGCCUUCGGGUUGUAAAGCACUUUUGGCAGGAAAGAAACGGCACGGAUAAUACCCCGUGCAACUGACGGUACCUGCAGAAUAAGCACCGGCUAACUACGUGCCAGCAGCCGCGGUAAUACGUAGGGUGCAAGCGUUAAUCGGAAUUACUGGGCGUAAAGCGUGCGCAGGCGGUUCGGAAAGAAAGAUGUGAAAUCCCAGAGCUUAACUUUGGAACUGCAUUUUUAACUACCGAGCUAGAGUGUGUCAGAGGGAGGUGGAAUUCCGCGUGUAGCAGUGAAAUGCGUAGAUAUGCGGAGAACACCGAUGGCGAAGGCAGCCUCCUGGGAUAACACUGACGCUCAUGCACGAAAGCGUGGGGAGCAAACAGGAUUAGAUACCCUGGUAGUCCACGCCCUAAACGAUGUCAACUAGCUGUUGGGGCCUUCUGCCUGGUAGCGCAGCUAACGUGAAGUUGACCGCCUGGGGAGUACGGUCGCAAGAUUAAAACUCAAAGGAAUUGACGGGGACCCGCACAAGCGGUGGAUGAUGUGGAUUAAUUCGAUGCAACGCGAAAAACCUACCUACCCUUGACAUGUCUGGAAUCCCGAAGAGAUUUGGGAGUGCUCGCAAGAGAACCGGAACACGAGGCGUUUGUGGUGGCUGUCGUCAGCUCGUGUCGUGAGAUGUUGGGUUAAGUCCCGCAACGAGCGCAACCCUUGUCAUUAGUUGCUACGAAAGGGCACGCAAUGAGACUGCCGGUGACAAACCGGAGGAAGGUGGGGAUGACGUCAAGUCCUCAUGGCCCUUAUGGGUAGGGCUUCACACGUCAUACAAUGGUCGUGGGACAGAGGGUCGCCAACCCGCGAGGGGGAGCCAAUCCCAGAAACCCGAUCGUAGUCCGGAUCGCAGUCUGCAACUCGACUGCGUGAAGUCGGAAUCGCUAGUAAUCGCGGAUCAGCAUGUCGCGGUGAAUACGUUCCCGGGUCUUGUACACACCGCCCGUCACACCAUGGGAGUGGGUUUUACCAGAAGUAGUUAGCCUAACCGUAAGGAGGGCGAUUACCACGGUAGGAUUCAUGACUGGGGUGAAGUCAACAAGGCAG